AUGUUGCCCCCACUGCUGGGGCCAGCAGAGGAGAAAUGGAGCGCCCCAGCCCUCUGGAUAUGUCUCCCUCAGCUUGGUACUUGGGAACAGGCACAUCACACCUUCCUACGAGACCCAAUGGCCUCCUGUCUCUCAACACAUCCAUUGCCUGGAUCUGUUUCUGGAGCGACGGUGGUGGUCCCAACACACCCAGGCGAAGGGAGCUGGAUUAUUCAGGAAGGAAGGUGGGGAGAUGACCCCCUAGUCAGACCUGAACCCUGCCGGACUACAUCACUGAAGCCAGAGGGAGAAGAUCUUGACAUUCCACUGGGUGUCUUCCGCCCCAUCUGCCGUAAAGUCCUAGGUGGGAAUGACAGAGAUUUAACCAGAGACUUUCUUUGUGAUGAACUCAUUCUCAGAGGGCAUGAAAGCCUCAGCUGGGAUCAGAGAUGCUGGAACCUGCCCCUGCCUGUGAAAGUGGCUGCCGGCUGACGAGAGGUUAAUGCUACAAUAUUAGAUGCCUGGUUACUGAGGCUUUUGGGUGCACGUGGUUCACAGUUCAAGAUUUUCUUUGCAAUCCGGAGGUCUAGAAGUGAGGCGGGGAGUUAAAUGAAAGUGGAGUCUCAUCAUCUGAUUCCAGAACCUGGAAAAAUUGCAAAUUUCACAAGACUUCUAAAAAUCACAGGCGUUGGCAACCCUGACAGAUAUGCCGACGUCUAAACCCGGACACGCAGAUGAGAUAGAAGAGUGUCAGUGCUAGAAAUGGGGCCGCUGUAGCCUCAUGGGAAUUUAUACCGGUAUUAUAUGAAGAUUUGAAACUCUUGUUGAGUGUUAGCAAAUGGUUCCUGGAUCAUCUAACCGUAACAGUGAAGCUGCUGAGCUCAGAAAAUAGAGGGAGUGAUGGUGCAACACUGGAUCAUUUUUAUAUUUUCAGUAAUCUGCUGGGGCAGGGAAUUGAGUAAAAGUGGACUGAAGAUCUUAUUAUUCAGGUAAGUGGCUCUGGGGUGCAUCAGCUUUCUGGGACUGAAGCAUCCCCAAGAAGCUGGAUUUUGUAGGCAAGUGCCUGGUCCAGGAGUGAGUUGUGCAGGAGCAGGAAUUUUGAGCUCUCUGCUAGAGAAGAACAGCUUUGAUCUUGGCAAGCUGUUCCCAAGCUUGAUAAAAUUGAGAUUGGAGCAAAGUCCAUCAUUAGGGACGGGGAAGAAGAUCUGUAGACGGCAGCAUUAGGAAC
rnacentral:lncRNA from 1 species